rnacentral:ncRNA from 1 species
AAAAACGCGAUGAAGAGGAGAGUAGCUCAUUCAAUCGUCUUUGCAGCGAGUCCCAGUUAGUGCGAGGGGACAAGACGCAAAUGAUGCGAAAGUAGCCUCCGAGCGGUCGAUGCGACGUCACAGCGAAGUUUCGAAUGGGAGCGCCCUUUACAGCGUCAACGUAUUGCAUUUGUCAAAAAAUGCAGCACGGGGUGAGUUCAAGUCAGCAAUGGCUUGUUGAAACAAAGGUGGUAACACGCUGAGGCGUCCUUUCA